rnacentral:rRNA from 1 species
CCUACGGGAGGCAGCAGUGAGGAAUAUUGGUCAAUGGACGCAAGUCUGAACCAGCCAUGCCGCGUGCAGGAAGACGGCUCUAUGAGUUGUAAACUGCUUUUGUACGAGGGUAAACGCAGAUACGCGUAUCUGUCUGAAAGUAUCGUACGAAUAAGGAUCGGCUAACUCCGUGCCAGCAGCCGCGGUAAUACGGAGGAUUCAAGCGUUAUCCGGAUUUAUUGGGUUUAAAGGGUGCGUAGGCGGUCGGAUAAGUUAGAGGUGAAAUCCCGAGGCUCAACUUCGGAAUUGCCUCUGAUACUGGUCGGCGAGAGAGUAGUUGCGGUAAGCGGAAUGUAUGGUGUAGCGGUGAAAUGCUUAGAGAUCAGACAGAACACCGAUUGCGAAGGCAGCUUACCAAGCUACUUCUGACGUUGAGGCACGAAAGCGUGGGGAGCAAACAGGAUUAGAUACCCGAGUAGUC